rnacentral:rRNA from 1 species
UACAGAGGGGGCAAGCGUUAUUCGGAAUUAUUGGGCGUAAAGGGCGCGUAGGCGGCCUGGCAAGUGGAAGGUGAAAUCCCUCGGCUUAACCGAGGAACUGCCUUCCAAACUGCUUGGCUUGAGUCCGGGAGAGGUGAGUGGAAUUCCCAGUGUAGCGGUGAAAUGCGUAGAUAUCGGGAGGAACACCUGUGGCGAAAGCGGCGCACUGGACCACAACUGACGCUGAGGCGCGAAAGCUAGGGGAGCAAACAGG